UGCGCUUAACCACAAGCUGUCAAUCCAACCAGUGUGCCCUUGCCCUUAAGCAUAACCUAACCUGAAUAAUCCUAUUUGUUUUCAUUUCUCCAUAGCCUAUAACUUUGGUCAAGUACUGUUGUGGGUUAAGGAAAUUGUGCAUAAAGACUGCUCUCCUCAUUCACAUCAAAAAUAAAUAGUGGAGAGAAGAACUUGCAAGCCGCUGGCUCCUUCGGAUGCCCCUUCAGUCGCCAUGGGCCAAUUACAGUGGUGGAGACAGACACAAUGAAGCUGGCCAGAGCUCUGCCAAGUCCCCGCUGCUCUCUGUCCCAAAGGCAGAUCAAGUCACACACAGAGAAGCAUGUUACAACUCACACUCAAAGCAUUGCAAUUCUAGCCCACAGCUGGGGAGAUAAAUGCCAGCCAGCCACUGUGACGAGCACAUUCAUUUCCUAUAUAAAGAAUCCCAGGGAUUAAACGGGGACUCAGUGCUGGUGAUAUUCUUGAGCAAAGGGGGGGAGAGAACUCCUUGUUGGGAUAAAUGGGAAGGCGGUCAGAA